GGGACUGGGGAGGAGGGGAACUCUCAAGCACCAGGUGGCUCCGGGCUAAUCCCGUAAAUGCGCGAAGAGGUACUCACGCUGAUUUAAAGGGGCAGGGCAAGCCCGGCUCAAAGGAAAAGGCAACGGGUGUUAAAGCAGGACAAUGAACCGAGCCUCAGGGCAGCGCAGCAGCUUCCGAACAACUGAAUCUCGGCACGGAAUUCUGAGGCGGGGAAGGGCGAAAUGGCCACAACAGCCCUCAGAAAAAGCAGGCACGCUCCCGACCCCCACCCCGAAACCGCGCAGAAGAGCCGUCGCACCCUCUCCCUGUGUUGUUCUGCUCAAGCGACAGAAACCGCCGCGCACUCGCGCCCAAUAUCCGCCCCCCCCCCGCGCGCGCAGUAUCCAACGCACGUUCAAAAAGCAGAUACAGACCUCUCGGUGCCCCCUCAAUAUCCCACACAGGAAGCAGAAAUUGCCCCACGUACACAAUCCCUUCCUUAACCCGACGGGGAAGCGCUAAUACAGGCGCAAAAGCCACUGUCCUGCACAACCCCUUGGGUGACCCACACAGGAAACCUCAUCAGAGUCCCGUACAGGAAACGGUGAACCCACCCCCGGCAUCCUCUCAGCCGCUCAGACAUGGGACGAUAGAGAGUCCCCUCACGCCUCAAGGAGGCAGCCGGCGGUUCCCUCAGUAGUCCACCCACAGGAAGUGAAAGAGGAACCCAGCACGUUGUCCAUCACACCUUCAGCGUUUUCCCCAGGAAACACAAAGAUCCUCACAAAAGAUCACGGCUGCAGGACCCCACGCUAUGGUUAACCGUUGCUACUACAGCACUUGUGCAGGGCGACCCAAAAACACAUUUAUUCAGAAGGCGAUCGCACAGCUUCCUAAUGAGUAAGCUCCGCUGAAUACAGUGGCACUUACUUACGAGUAAACAUGUCAAGGCUUGCACUGUGCGUUCAGUAAAACUUGUUCCUUCGCAAGUGUACUUAAGAAAACAGCCUUAAUAUGCAAAGAGUUUUACAGUCUUUCUUUUGUUCCCUUUCACAACAACCCCGUGAAACACGUCCUUUGCAUACUCACUUUACAAAGGAGGAACCGAGGCCAAGAAAUUUGCUCAAAGCCACACUGACGGAAAGAACAUUUGAACCCACAUCAAUCAAAGGCGAUCACCCCACCCCACCCCACCCGUUCUUUAACAUGUUCAGCUCUCACAUUCUCCAACUGGGUCAGUUACCUGAGAAGCACCAAGUCCUUCUACUCGGGAUAAUUUAAGGAGAAGGUUCAGAGGACAUUGCAGAGGAGUCCAAGUCCUGGGAGGAGGAGGGGGACUGACCCCUGCGCUUGCCGUGCUUUCUAAGAGGGCGAUGUUUUUCAAGUGCCUGGCUUAAUACAGAGGAAAACCAGAGACGCCAGGGCUCAGUAUGGCAUGUCUAUACCAGAAAAAUACAGAAAACAGCCAAGAAGCAUCCACUAUGCAGCAACAAAAAAGAGACCAAGUCUCAUUCAAGAUGCUUGCAAACUUUAAUGAGCCCAAAGCAUUUCAGUCAAUGGCCUUCCUCAGGGGCAAAUUUGUUUGAACCAAAUGUUCCAACAAGUUAAAAAUGGACCUUACUCCUAUACAACUGUGCGCAGGAUUGAAGUAUAAAUACUAAAUGUAUUCGUAUAAUAUGCAAGUCUCUAGACUAUUUUGUCUUCUAUGGUGAACAGAUCUUAUAUAGGAGUCAAGUUGCCACUGCUCAUUUAUAUAGGGAAAAGGUGUUUCUCAAAAACACAAUAUGGAGAAAUGGUAACAAAUGGGCUUUUCUCUCAGGAUGUAUGAGAUUUGAUGUUACUUUUUGGGUGGAUAGGAUUGAGUCACUUAAUAAUCCACUGAAAUCACAAUUAAAAAACCUACAUUAAAAAUGCAAACAUAUACUAGGAGCUCAGCAUGUUUUCAAUAUGUUGUACCAAACAAAAGAGGUGAUUUGGCCUGAGGUAUAUAUUUGAUUCUUGUGCAUACAUUCUACUAUUUUAUCUUUACAGACAACUAUCUAACUUGGGAAGAACUUACCUCAUUAUUAAUAUCAAAGACUCCUUCCUGUAUUUUCUCAUAGAUUUCCUUUGCUGUAUUAAUAAAUGCCUGAAAGAGCAAAUUGUGAAAUUUGAGACAAACCAAAACAUGGAUACAGAUGUACAAUAGAAGCACUAAUUUCUUCUCCCGUGGAGGCUACAGUGUGUUAUCCCAGAGCAGAUAUCUGCACACCUACACAUGCAUAUUCCUCUAUAACUCCAGAGGUAACUGCAGCUUCCUGGGUCCCACUCUACCCUAUGCUACUUCUUCACAUACAUUUAUGAUCAACAG